AUGAGUCAACGCAGACGCCGCAGAUCCGCGUCUGGCCUCAGAAGCCGCACCCACCAGAACCGGGCCUCACCCCGGUGUCGAUGCUGUUUGGCUGCAGAGCGGAGAAAGCUGAGCGGCUGCAGAGGAAGCAGGGUUUGUUUGUUUGUUGGUUGUUUCUUUGUUUGUUGGUUUGUUUGUUUGUUUGUUUGUUUGUUUCUUUGUUUGUUGGUUUGUUGUUUCUUUGUUUGUUGGUUUCCUUGUUUGUUUGCUUGUUUGUUUCCUUGUUUGUUUGUUGUUUGUUUGUUGGUUUCCUUGUUGGUUUCUUUGUUUUGUUUGUUUGUUUGUUUUGUUUGUUUGUUUGUUGGUUGGUUGGUUUCCUUGUUGGUUUGCUGGUUUGUUUGUUGGUUUGUUGCUCUGGCGCUUUCAUUCUACAUGUUUCACACAGCACCGCUCUGCUCAUCGUCGAUAAGCCUGAGUCUGUGUAGUAAUGUUUCCCUUCUUUUACAGGCACAUAUGGACGAGCGCUCGUAACGAACGCCUUCGCGCUCCACAUGAAACAGAACGACGCCGUGGAGCUGAGCCCACGCGCUGCACGGGGGGUGCGGCGUGGGCUCUGCGCUGGCUUCAGUCAGAGGAAGCCGACCCGCUGCACCGGAUCAGAACCACCGUCGUAGCUGCUUCAUUCAGCUAAAGGGAACAGCGGGAAACACAUGAAGCCUGUUCUCAUCCUGUUUGUCUUCUUCCACAGAUGCAGUUUUCACCAGACACCGGUUCUCAUACAAUGAGAUGCUGCAUUAAGUCCUUUAGGUAAAUGGAGCCCACGCUCUGAUUAUCCUCAGAUUUACUUCUGGGGCUUUGAGAACUCGGGUCUAUACGUACUGCACAUGGUGAAGGCGAACAGAAUGCGGUUUACGGGAAACGCUGCAAACCGUCUCUUUAAGCCCGAGGCUCCGGUUCCAGCAGCUCAAAGAAACACCAUUAAAUCCUGAGGUGAGCUUUGAACUGGGGCAAAAUGGGCUCAUUGGAGAAAACGGAGCCUCGCGUACAUUUACUGAAAAUCAAUCUGCAGCCUGUUCCCAUCGUGCAAAACGAUGAAGGGGAACAGAGGCCGACUGCAAAAUGAUUCUAGGGAACCAGUCUCAGGUUUGAUUCAUGAAGCUUCAAUAUGAAGGUGAGGCGUCGCUGAGCGUCUCCCUGUGGAUCGGCCAGUAUCUGCUUGGACCUGUGACUUCUUGACUGAUCAACGGGACAAAGGAGCUGCUGCUCGUUCUCGCUGCCAAUUAGCGCCAUGAUGCCCGUUAGUUUCCCUCCAGCUCCUGUAAUUGGAUCUCAAUUGGAAAACAUGGCGCCCGUUUCUCUUCCUCCUCUGCUUCCAACUGAGCGCGGAUCCGUUGUUUAUACAGCGGUUUAGCGGCUUUGCACCACUUUACUGGGAUUUGCUGAAUUCAUGUCGUGCUGCAGCUGUUGGAGUUGCUAGAGUGUAAAAUUGCUCAGAGUGGAUUAGUUUGCACCGGACACCUCAUUAAACUCU
rnacentral:lncRNA from 1 species